GACGAACGCUGGCGGCGUGCUUAACACAUGCAAGUCGAACGGAAAGGCCCUGCUUUUGUGGGGUGCUCGAGUGGCGAACGGGUGAGUAACACGUGAGUAACCUGCCCUUGACUUUGGGAUAACUUCAGGAAACUGGGGCUAAUACCGGAUAGGAGCUCCUGCUGCAUGGUGGGGGUUGGAAAGUUUCGGCGGUUGGGGAUGGACUCGCGGCUUAUCAGCUUGUUGGUGGGGUAGUGGCUUACCAAGGCUUUGACGGGUAGCCGGCCUGAGAGGGUGACCGGCCACAUGGGGACUGAGAUACGGCCCAGACGCCUACGGGAGGCAGCAGGGGGGAAUAUUGCACAAUGGGCGGAAGCCUGAUGCAGCAACGCCGCGUGCGGGAUGACGGCCUUCGGGUUGUAAACCGCUUUCGCCGGUGACGAAGCGUGAGUGACGGUAAUGGGUAAAGAAGCACCGGCUAACUACGUG
rnacentral:rRNA from 1 species